rnacentral:misc_RNA from 1 species
GGGACCUGGGUUCCCUACCUGAUCCGAGGUCACCUGGGAUAAAAAAUUUGGGUUGAUCGGCAAGCGCCGGCCGGGCCUACAGAGCGGGUGACAAAGCCCCAUACGCUCGAGGACCGGACGCGGUGCCGCCGCUGCCUUUCGGGCCCGUCCCCCGGAAUCGGAGGACGGGGCCCAACACACAAGCCGGGCUUGAGGGCAGCAAUGACGCUCGGACAGGCAUGCCCCCCGGAAUACCAGGGGGCGCAAUGUGCGUUCAAAGACUCGAUGAUUCACUGAAUUUGCAAUUCACAUUACGUAUCGCAUUUCGCUGCGUUCUUCAUCGAUGCCGGAACCAAGAGAUCCGUUGUUGAAAGUUUUAAAUAAUUUAUAUUUUCACUCAGACUUCAAUCUUCAGACAGAGUUCGGGGGUGUCUUCGGCGGGCGCGGGCCCGGGGGCGUGAGCCCCCCGGCGGCCAGUAAAGGCGGGCCCGCCGAAGCAACAAGGUAAAAUAAACACGGGUGGGAGGUUGGACCCAAAGGGCCCUCACUCGGUAAUGAUCCUUCCGCAGUCCCCCUUCCGGAAAG